CUCCUCCUAAAGAGGCCACAAAACCAACGACAAACGUACGGAUUCCUCAACCAUCUGGACUGAAAGAAAGACCACAGUAACAAUACUAUGCUGGUGAAACACAAGAUGCUGUAGUGGACUUGGAUCAAGAAACUGACCUCGAGAGAGAAGAGAAAGGAAACAAGGCAGAAGAGUUAAACAAUGACUUGGCUGAGAAACAAUAUAAUCAAGAGCAAGAAACCAUGCCACUUACUGUACAAGACGCAUUCUCACAGGAGACCAUAAAUUUGCUAGACUUGUCUCCAAGUCACCUAAUAACUUCCUGA